rnacentral:tRNA from 1 species
AAAUAAAGCUUACGGGUUCAUACCCCGUCUAUGAGAUUAUAGUCUCUCUUUU